CUUGUUUUUGACACAGGAAAUGCUGGUGAAACCUCUAGCUCUGUCAACACUUUCUAAGCAAAUUUAGGCACAUUUCUUCCAUUCUCAUGCUCUGAGGUCUCCCUCUCUCUCAGAUACUCAUUGUAAUCUGGAAGCUAAAAUAAUGCAGACCGUGGGUACUACUGACUUUGUUUUAAAGUGGUACGAAGACUUUAUACCAAGCAAUUCUGAAAAGUGUUCUAAACACCUUGGGAGAAAAUUAUAUAUUCUAAAAUCAUCGACUCGGAAGUCAUUGCUAGAACUCUGCUCCAACUCUGCAAAAUAUGGACCAGGAAUAAUUUACAGGGCACACAAUAUUUGGAUUUCCAACUGGUCUAGAGAGAGAUUAAUGAUAGAAGAGAAAACAAAUGAAGCGAGUAGGUAAAACUGCCAAAACAGAUGCAGUAGCUUGAUGUCGGAUCUUAGUUCCCAAACCAGGCACUGAACCCAGGCUGCAGCAAAGAAAGCACCAAGGCCUAACAACCAGACCACCAGACCACCCAACUCCCAUGAGUUUGAUUAUUUUAGAUACCUCAUAAAAUACGACUGUUCUUUUGGCCUACAGCUGGUAACAUCAACAUGGAUCCAGAUCUGCUCUUUCUAACCUAAUGUUUCUGGAGGAAACUGGAGAACUUGAGAGUCUGAAUGGCUCAUCUCUGAAUGAGACAAGGGAGCCUUGGUGAGGAUUAUGUGCAGAUAAGGCAUGUCUUUUUUUUUUUUUAAGUAUAAGAGAUUUACAAUGUCCUGUCAACUUCUGCUGUAUACGGCAUUUCCAAUACCUUGCAACCUCUCUUGAAUGGAACAGUAGCAUCUCAAGCCUUGAGUGUUAAAUCCAUGUGGGUCCAGAGGAAGACAAAAUAUGGGCUAUUAUUGGCUAAGUAUUUGAGGGCACUCAAUGUAUUUCUUGUUUCACUUCAUCUCCAAAAGAGGACAAGGAAGUGAUAAAAAAAUUUUUUGGUAACAGUGCUGGAGGCUGGAGUUCUUGAUGUGAGAAAUGAAAAGAUUAAAGCAUUAUUUUCAUACCUUUCUCAGUUUAUUUCACCACCUAAUGCAAAUUUUUUUUUUAACUUGCAACAUACCUUUGCUUGAGGUAGUUCUUCCCAACCUCUCCUCACCAUCUAUAAGCCAUCAAGAGUCCAGAUUAGUAUGUGUGCUUAUGAGACAGUGGUCAGGGGUAACAGAUGAGGAUAAGGAAAAUGUGUAAGGGUGCAGACACAGAGCAAAAAGGAAAGCAAAACUGCUUAAGCAAAAUGCAUAAUUUAAAUUUUUGACCUUUAUCUACCAAGAACUAGAAUAAUUUUAGUGAAUAUUAAUUAAAUGUAUUCAUAUAACUCUGGAAAGAAUAGUUACCCCAGGUUUCAGGUAAUCAGAAGUAUUAAGUAUGGGAAUGGAGAUGGUGUAUAAAACCUCAGUGGUAUGCCACAGAAUCAGCCACAGUAUAGUUCUCCUUAACUAACUCCUCAUUCCCAAUGUCUGAUACCCAUGGUUGAUGAAUCUUGCACUGAUGUGCCUUUCCAGUGCCUCCUAAUAUUCUAACUCUCCUGGAUGAGUCAAAAACUUUUUAAGAGUUGUAUACGCAUUCUCCAACCUAUUUAAACUAGCCAUGU